GUAUACCAAAGCAUUAGCAGUUAAAUGUGUAAACACACACAGACAACACAUUUUCUCUUCCUUCAAUCAAAUGCCAUCUAAGCAGAAUUACUAAUUACAAGUAGUAUCUUCAGAAGCUUACUUAGCACUCUGAAGAUAUUCAGACAUCUUUCAUGGUUUAGUCCUUCUAAAUCCAUUUUGUAACUUUUAUUAGGAAUUAAAAAAGCACUGUAUAAGGCUGCUUUCUGUCUUAAAAAAAUUAUUCCCCUAUUUUAAGCUGCUUUUCUCCAUAAUAGUCAAGGAAGAGUAGCUGCCUAAGUGAGAGGAUUGUCUAAUUCAGUCAAUACAUUCUGUAAUACUAAUUGUGAAAUAGAAGAAGUGCUCUUGAACGUAGCUAAGCAGGAGCCAUCAAAACCAAGGACAUUCUCAUCUCCGUGAGGAUAAGAAAGGGAAGAGUGCGGUGCUUUACCACACUUAUGAAGAAUAAAAUCAAACCCAAUUCUACUUUAUCAUUGCCUUUUGAGGGAGUACUGAAAUAAAUAAAAUGGGCAUAAUACAAAAGUUACCACAUCCAUUCCACCUAUGCACAUCUGGGCUGGCGACACUGCCUGGAAAACAGUGACUGGCCAUGGUCACAGCAUCUCCUUGACCAUCACCAGGGCCCUCAGCUGGGUACCAGCCCCUGCUAACAGGAUUUUCUCUCUCCCAUUGUGAAUGGGCCCCCCGCUCACCUGUGGCACUGUGGGGGCAGCAGCAAUGUGUGCCCUCCCCAGGGCUGGCAUGUGGGGCCAGCCAGGUGGUCAGGUCUGGGGAAGGGCCCGUCUCUAAACAUGCAUGCGGUGGGCUGAGGCUCCACCAGGCAGCUCCCGGAGUGCCUCUCCGCUCGUUCAAAGCCCAGGCAAUGAAAAAGUCCUUCCCCCAGUGGAAACACGUCUGCUCUGCAAUAAGCCUCCUUAGACAUGCCUUUGCUGUGUGGCAGCCCACAGGCGUGGAAGCUGCACUUGCUAGACUAAGAGGAAACAGCAUACCAGGACAGAAACAUCGUCUUGAAAAGACAGCUCAACAAGGAGAAGAAAACCCAACUCUUACCUGGCAGCAGAAACCCCCAGAUGGUGCCUACCUGUUGCUUCUCAUUGCGUGUCAGAAUCAGGAAGGAACUUCAGAAAGGAAAGGCAGCUUGAAGAGACAGCAGGCUUCUACCUACAGAAGUAUGGACAGGCAUGGUGAUCCCCAACUGUUUUCUCUCUGUUCACAUCACGGAACUAUUUGUAUAAAAGCAUGGGGGAAAAUAUGGGGAACAGUGGGAAAACAAAAACAAGUCUCAUUUAAAUAAAUAUUUUAAAGAAAUGAUCAUGGUCUCUUUCUAAGUAUUUGCUGUGGCAAAGAAAGAUGGUGUUGGAAAGCAAAGCCUCUAAGCCCACAGUGUUGAGCCAGCCAUGGCCAGGUGGGCAAGGGGUGGGAUAGCAUCACCGCAGGCAUUUCUCCAGCUGCUCUGACAAUAGCCUGCUGACACCCAACAUUUUCUCCUCCCUGUGCUUCAUACCAUGCCACUCACCCUCCAUGGAGCAAAGGAUGCAACAGCAGCUUCACACCUGCCUUGCUGGCAUGACUAAUGCUGCCUCUUGCUUGUUUGAACUGAUCUCUGCAGCUCUUCAGCCAGCACUGGAGAUUGCAGUCAUAAAGGAAACACAGCUCAUGGUUGUGACAAAGUCUUUUUUCUCUGCUCUAUGCUUCCACACAGCUAGAAAGCAGAAUGCUUGCACUUUCCCACCCAGUUCACUGCUGGGAACACCACUUCCCAAGCCUGCAAAUUCCAGCUUGCUCCUCAGCACCCAGAUCUCACACACCACCAUAGCCAGCACAGGUCUCACUUCUUGUCCAGUUGACUAGACUGAACUUGCACGCUUUAGCCACCCAAAAAUCUCAAUUGAAAUAAAUGCUAUAAUUGCUUUUUUCUCCCCCAGGACCAAGAAAAAUGUUCUUAGAUGGCAGAAAACUGAAAAACUAAAACCCUCCUUGGCUUCAUACUUCAGCUCAACAGCCCACCAACACAGCCCACUGGUUACACCCAACUCCAUCACCUUGAUGAAAGGAUCCUUUCACAUGUGCAAGCACUCAGGACUUGCUGCACACAUCUCACGUGCUGCUGGCAGGCUUUCAACCUCCACAGUGCUUACUGUUGCUUCAGAUUUAUCAAAGAAGUACUGUGAGUGACUCAAGCUUUUGCCUUGUUGUCACUGUGGGAAAGGGUUCUCCAGAAAUACGCCAGCACUCUGCUGCCUGCUGGCUCUCAGGGGCUUCCAUAGCCCCAAGGCUUAAGGCAGGGCUUCACACGGGUGACAUGUGCACCCUGCUGAGGAGGCGUGAUGUGUUUUUCAUCAAAAAUCACCUGCCUGCCAGGCAAAUCACACUAAAAGCCUCUGAAUAAAUCAUAAUUGGGAAGUAAAUGGAGGCUAACUCUAGCACUGCUGCCUCUGACGCUGGGAUUCAAUAACCACCACAGCAUGAGCUCAAGCCCUGCUUUGAUUUACCUUCAGAGGAAUGUUGUUUUGCUGAAUGAAAGCGAUGAAAUUCAAAGAAAGAUUUAUCAUGUUCAGUUGUUCUCAAAUGAACUGAUGCUAUUUUGCCCUAAUUCAAGGUUUGCCUUUAGUAAUCAGUAUUUAUGCUAACUCUUCCAUUGAUUGCUUAAGCUAGCUGUCACCUCAAUUUCAAUUAUUCCCCCAUACAUUCAGUAACACUUAACAGGUGCGCUUUCCUCAGGAGGCCUGGAAACUGAGAAUGCAUUCAAAGACACAUUUCCUCCUUCCUUUCAAAUUUCCAGGCUUGAAAUCCUACUAAUGUUAGAAAAUAAUAAAACAAAUAUAAGCCAUUCAGAUGUCAAAGGAUGGUUUGUUUGUUGAGCUACUUAAAAAAUUAUAUAUAUAUAUUAAAAAAAAAAAAAAAAAAAAAGAUUAAUCCACCCUAAUUACUGGGAACAGUUCCCUUUAAUGCUGCCAUUAAUUUGACUAAUGCUGCAACAUCAAAAUGAUUAAAACCCCAGGAAACUUAGGCUUCCUUCACACCAAUGGGGCUACUUUUGAUUUUGAAAGAAAAGGAAAAGUUAGCGUGUUGCACAAAGUUUGUUUCAUAUCAUAUUACAUUUUUCUUUCCUCUUUUCCAUGAAUGGCUACUCUGACUCUCUCCGUUUGCCACAACUCAAGGAAUAAUUACAGCAGUGCUGAGCUGAGGAACACCCAUAUUCUCAGACCAAUAUCCAGUUCAGAGCCUUGCGCUACCUGUCAGCUGCAGCAGAUAGGAGAUGCAGGCAGCUGAUUUCAUCUGCCUGUAUGGCAAAGGGAUGCUUGAGAUUCUCUUGCUCAUGCUUAGAUUGAACCUUUUCUGCUUUAAACAGUGACGCAGGAACAUUUCAACCAUAACAGUACUUGAAAAAGCAAUUGAAACUAUUAUAUCUUUUAUGAAUCAUAGAUUUUCCAGCAGGCAAAAGCCUCUGCUUUCUGAGAAAGAAAACCCACAAACUCAUUGCUGCCAUUCCAACCUACUGAGCACUGUUUCUCUUAGAUGGUUCCUCUCCAGUAUGAGCUGGAACUCCCCCAUAUGUGGACCAUUGUGUGCAUCCCACUGGGGCGAUGGCUGAUCAAGGACCUGAUGGUUUCAGUGGGUCCCAGCUGUCUGGCUCAUUCAUAACCAGGUUCAUUGUGAAAAUGGACAAAACUCUCUAAAAUCCCAAGUCCUAUCAAGUACCUAAACUGACAGCCACCCCACACCUACUCAGUUCAUGGCUCAGUUAUUGGAUGCAGAGAUGGCCAGGCUGGGGAAUGGGCUGGACAACCCUCAUGAACUGUACCACAAACCAGUGCUCACUUUGGCAGGAACAGAAGGAUGGAUGGAUGGAUGGAUGGAUGGAUGGAUGGAUGGAUGGAUGGAUGGAUGGAUGGAUGGAAGGAGGGGCCAGGCUGUAUCUAAAAUGGCAGACAGAACUUGAGGAGAACUUUCUAAAGAAAACAAAUGAUCUUAAAGUUGAGAAUGGAAAGCAUGAGAAAGGAUUUGGGAAUGGAAAUUGAUUAGAUCCCAGAUGAUACUUUUAGAAGUAUCUAUCUGAAAUACUACAGACUUAUCUUCCUUCCUCAUUCAGACAGAAUGUUCAGGACUUCUAAUAGUAGAACAUUAAGAGCAUAAGCCCCCAAACCACCAGUCAAAAGGUUCUGAGCAAAUUCUCCUGUGAUCUGGGAUUAUAACUUGAUGAUGUAGAGAUGUUCACACACGAUACCGGGGUAAAAACCAAUGACUAACUAUACCUGCACUGGUGAAAAACGCAUCCUUUGAUCACAACUGCCUGGAAACCACCCACAACCUGAACGUGACAGGCGUUUACUCUGAGAACCAGCAUGAGGUUGCGGGCAUUGGUGACGCAUAGCCAUUUCUCCAGCUUUCUAUGGGGGACUUUGUUCAUAGAAUAAGCAAAAUAAAAAUGCUCCAAGGAGAACUGGAGAAUUCCUUCAUCAUAGUAAAUUAUUUUCUUAUUUCUUGUGUAUGGGUAUAUUUUUUAACUGCAAGACACUAGAUAGGGCUUUCUCUAGCAUUUAACCAACCCUUUUGCAUAACACACAUACAAAAACUCAUAUUAACAGUUAAAAUACCCUACCUGAAUGCUUUGAUGAAAGAAUACAAUUUCUUUUUCCAAAAAUAUUGCACAAGUUGUUGUUUAUUUGGGGUUUGCACUACUUGCACAAAGUGGGAAACCAUCAAGGUCUGGCCUCAGGAACAUUGCUGCAACUGCAGCUCAAAAGUUUUGCCUCCUUUGAACUAGAAAUUAGUACAUAAAAAACAAAACAAAACCACCAAAACAAAACAAAACAAAAAAGAAAACCAAACACCAAAAUUCCAACCACUGAAAAACAGCCUGCUUCGCUAGCUACUAAAAAAAAAAAAAAAAAAAAACCCAAAAAAAAAAGAACCAACCAAAGAAAAAAACAGUAUUCACGCAUUUGAUACCAAAUCUCUCAGGCAUUUCUUUGUGUUAUAUGUAAAUCAACCUUGGGAAUUCCCUGAUUGUUUCCCACCAAAAAUGCAGAUUGAUAAGGAGUACAGAAAUUGGAUUCUACUAGUAAUUAUAUGGAGUGUAAAAUAAAGUUGCUUCCUACCCAGUUAACCAGGCCCAGCUUCCUUGCAGGCACUGCUUCCAGUUGGGAUAAAAUCAAAGAUUAUCUGAUUUUAAACCUGUCAGCAAUCCUUCAUUGUAAAAGACCUGAGUUAAUAAAACUGCACUGUGAAAUAGUGCAAGCUGGAAAUGGGAGAGAUUUGCUGGGAUCUUGGAGAACAUGUGAGAUGUCUUUUGAAUGAAUUCUAUCCUUUCAAUUGAAAAUAAUAUUUUAGUUUGGACCUUUGUUUUUUGGACAUCAUUGAAAACCACUGUCUAAAUCUUUCUGCUGAUAAGAGCAUUCAGAACCAGAGUCAUUCUGUCCAAAUGCAAACAUUUCUACUGAUGAGAAACCAAAAUCCUCCCUUCCAGCAAUUCUCACUUUAUCAGAAAUGCAAAGCAGAGAUAUUCUGUGACAACAGAGUGACAACAUACUUUGGCAUUGACAGAGAAUGCUUUGGGGAAGAUAUCAAUAGGACCAUUAAGUACAGUGAAUGCGUAGCAAUAGCAAAAAGUGAUGGAUGCAAUGUCAGCUAUUUAACACUGAAAGGACUUCUCCUACAAACUCUUCCUUUCACAAGCCUUCUUGCUCCCACAGGCAAUCUUCUUCUUGGUAAGGGGCUGCAGGAUUAGGAUAAAAAAGAAUUCGUAGCCUAAUCAUUUUUGAGAGAUACUGAGCCUUAUGUAUAUGUACAUAUACACAUAUAUAGCUCUUCUUGUGGGGAAAAAAAAAAGCUCUAGAUGCUGUGGUACUGGAUGGUGUUGCCAGUCCCAAAGCGCAUUAAUACGUAAAAGCCAUGACCUUGCAGACCAAUGGCUUCCAAAAGGGUCUGUAUGUAUUCCUUAAGACCUUUUUGUUGGGUUUGAAAAUGGCUACACUAUAUAAAAAUGCCUUUGAAUUUAUUUUUAAAAAAUUAGCUUUACAAAAAAUCCUUUUCCCUUUUUUUCUUUUUUUUUUUUCUUUUUUCUUUUUCUUAAAGAUAUCAUUAUCUACAGGAACCCAUAAAAAUUUUUCCAUAUUUACAUCUAGAUAGCUAAUCAUUGACAAAUAUAAUAUCGUGAAAUAAAAUAUUGAAAGUGAAUAUUCAACCUUUUAAAUAGACAUUUGGCUCACAGCAUCAACAACAGAGAAAAA